UACGAGGGGGGCGAGCGUUGUCCGGAAUUAUUGGGCGUAAAGGGUGCGUAGGCGGUUUGGUAAGUCUUAUGUGAAAUCUACAGGCUCAACUUGUAGUCUGCAUGAGAAACUGCCGGGCUUGAGUAUGGGAGAGGUGAGUGGAAUUCCUGGUGUAGCGGUGAAAUGCGUAGAUAUCAGGAGGAACACGUGUGGCGAAAGCGGCUCACUGGACCAUAACUGACGCUGAUGCACGAAAGCUAGGGGAGCAAACAGG
rnacentral:rRNA from 1 species